CCUAAGGUACCAGGCUCAGGCCAGCUAGAGAAAUGGAAGGAUCUUCUUGUAGCAGAACUCAAAGGAAAGCCCAAAGACUGUGGCAUAAAAACAACCUCCAUUGCGGCAAGAUUUGUACAUAUUGACCUGGGAGAGGCUGCAUUCAGUUCCCCUCCAGGACUUUUAUGAAUUGGAAAUAUGCCCCCGGCUUAGCCAAGGUCAUGGGCACCACUCCUUGAGCUUGGGGUCUUCCACCAGGUGGCAGUUCCAGAGGCCAUACCACAGCUUCAACAUGCAGCACAGGAGAGACUGUCCUUCUUUCCUUUGCCUCUCUCUGAAGAGCAAGUAAAAUUCCCCCUAGAAGUUCCCAGCAGUUACCUUCCUCUGACCCAAGAUGGGUCAUGUGCUUGUGCCUGAGCUAAUCAUGGGUACGCACUCCAGAAAAAUGCUUGCAUGGGACACCAUGAGAUAUGUACAGGCAUUGUGAUUGCAAAAACUGGGAAACAAUCUAAAUGGCCACCAGCAAGGCAACAAAACUGUGGGAUAGUCAUAUGAUGGGAUACUACUACAUCCACCAAUGGAAACUAACAAAUUACUGCUGCGUGCAUCAACAUGGAUGAGUCUCAGAAACAGAAUGUUCGACGAAAUAUGAAAAUUGCAGAAGAAUACACACAUACAACUGAAAACCCUGGACAUCAUGUAUAAAGCACACCUAAGAAGAAGACUGAAGUGGAGAGAACAAGACAGACCAACUAGGGACUUUGGGAACCAAGGAAUGACACAGCACUGAGUUCCUUCUUUUUCGUGUUUGG
rnacentral:lncRNA from 1 species